GCAAACUUGGUCAUUUAGAGGAAGUAAAAGUCGUAACAAGGUUUCCGUAGGUGAACCUGCGGAAGGAUCAUUAUCGAGUUCCUGCCCUUAGGGUAGAUCUCCCACCCUUGCGUACCUCUCGCUCGUUGCUUUGGCGGGCCGCUUCGGCUACCGGCGCUCGCUGGUAAGUGCCCGUCAGAGGCUCUAAACUCUGAACAUUAGUGUUGUCUGAGUCCUAGAUAAUCGCGAAAACUUUCAACAACGGAUCUCUUGGUUCUGGCAUCGAUGAAGAACGCAGC
rnacentral:misc_RNA from 1 species